rnacentral:lncRNA from 1 species
CAACAAAACACAGGCAUGGAUUUUGGAUUAAAGUGCCUUUUGAUUUUUCUUCAAAUUAAACUACAUGAAGGAUUCCUUAAAACAGUCUCAUGAUGGCCCGGCCAAUCCUGAGCUGUCCCUCCAUAAUGAAACCCUCAACAGCUUCUGCCAGACAAACUUCCAGGAAUUGGGAGAGCUAGAGAAGACUGUUUUAUUCAAACAUCUCCUUCAAUGCAAGUGAGUCUGAAGGGU